UGACACUACUCUCAACUGACACUACUAAAUUUGCUUAUAUGGCUUUUAAUCAAUGUCUAGCCCCAACACAUUUUAAAAGGGCAUUGGAUGUCAAUCAGAUCAAGCAAAGGCUUGAUUAAAAAGGAACGUUUUUGCCUGGUGCCUAAAGGUGUAUAAUGAAGGUGCCAGGCAAACUUCCCUGGGGAGAGCUUUCCACAGAUGGGGAGCCAUUAAAGAAGGCCCGUUCUCGUGUUGCCACCCUACGGACCUCUCAUGAAGGAGGCACACGAAGAAGGGCCUCAGAAGAUGAUCCCAGCAUCCAGGUAGGUUCAUAUGGGAAGAGACAGUCUUUGAGGUAUUGCUGUCCUGAGCUGUUUAAGGCUUUAUAGGUCAAAACCAAUAAAGGCUUCUAAAGGCCAGUUACAUGGAAUCACAAGUAGGGAGAGUGCUGUUGCAAUCAGGUGGUGCUUGUGCAUUUUCCAUGGGAAUCUGUUGGCCAUUGUGAGAACAGGAUUGCCAGGGACUGACUGGAUAACAGGGAUGUUGGGAGGCACCAGCUGGCAAACCCCCUAGGGAAGCCUCAGAGAAGGAAGGCUCAGAGCCAGUGGAGUGGUGGGACAUUGAGAACAGGUCUCAGUGAGAAGGAAGAGCCAAGGGCAGAAAGCAGUUAAGACUCAGCUCAUGAAGCUUUCCAAGAGCUUUCCUGGCUACAUGGGCAACCUCUGGAGGAAGGGGGGGUGUCUUAUGGAAGGUGGUCCUGCCUUGAAGCUUCUCUGCGUUGUUGGCUGUUUUCUUGUAUAAAGAAUUAGACUUCCUGUUCGUCUCUGUGUUUGAGUGCUGGCCUGCACCUGAGUCAGCCCUGACAAGGACGCUGAUCUAGAUGAGCCAUUGGCUCCAUUCAGCAGGACUCUCUUUAUGUUCUUAAGCCUGAGGUUCCUGCAUGAAACCCCUUUUCUGCUGUACCCAGGUAUGUAACUGCCAUACAUAUACUCCAUGUUUUUCUUUUUCAGAACAAAAUUGUUUUCAAUCUAGGCAUUGAAAGCUCACUGAUGAUAGGUGGGCAGCAAGAAUGGCAGAUGGUGGAGAAAAGGUUCAGAAGGUUCCAACCUAGGAAUCAAAAAUGGGUAGCAUGGGGCUGGAUCUACACUGAUCUAAAAAAACACACAAAAAGAAGCUAAGAAAAAAAGACCAUGUUAUAUAGCUCUCAAUGCAAUUUUCCAUUGACUGCUGUACAGAGACACACACACACACCCCAGUGUCACAUUUUAUAACACGUUUAUAGUGUUAUAACUCACCAGUAUAGAUUAGUCUACAGUCUUUCGUGACAAAACAUGCACAGUGGUUGUGUUACAGCCAGACUGAGAGUUGUAUCUAGGGAUGGGGAAACUUAGUUGGACAAUAUCUUUUUCUGUCUGUUAAAAAGUUAAUCUCAUCCACACACUCCCCCCCCCCCUGUGAUUUGCUCAGUACCACAUCUUUACUGAAGAAGUAUCUCCCUGGUCUUUCCGCUCCUUGGCUUUCACAGAAGUCGGAGCAGAACUGUUUAUUUACUCUAAAUCUUAAGUCAGGAGCAGCUCUCAAGAGUUGUAAAAUGUUGAAUGGGGAGAGCCUUGUGCUGAUAGAGAACCUAAUGACUGCUGAGCUACUUUCAGAUUGGAUUUGAGCUCUGCACUCCUUUUUUACCUGGUCAUAAAAAAGGAGAGGUGGAAAGUGGGGGGGGGGGGACUGUGGCAGCCCACUUAGGAAGUCCCUUAACAGGUUUUCUGAGCUUAAAUGUACAUUCCUUUAAGUAUCUGUUAAUUACUUUACUAUGAUGAUGAGCCCCUGUGUAAUGUCAGACUUCCCACAAAGCCCAUUGUUAGCCGGCCCGUCAACCACUUAAUGCUUCUGAUUCACAGACGAGGGGUCUAGGUUUAUUGUCUACUGGGAAUUAUUUUAAUGUAGUACAAAAGAGUGCUGGAGAUGGCUUAAUGGCUCUGAGAGCAAGGCUGUUAUAAUGCUCACAUUGUAGUUCUAGACAGCCCAAACCCUGGUUUGCUUUUAAAGUUAUGGCAUUAAAAAGGGGGGGGGGACGGACUCAGGUCACAGAGACUUAAAUCAUAAGUGCAUAUCUGAACUGCUGAUGUGGUAACUAGUAGCAGUGUAUGGCGUGCUUUUAACCUGCAAUUUGCUGUGUUCUGGAGAUCAGGUUAUACAAUCUUUCGCAUUAACCCAGCCCAUAAAAUGUGUGCCUGUAAUACAUUACAGUCCAUGCUCAUCAGAGAAGGAACAGUAAAAACUGUAAGGAAAAUUCCGCUGAAAUAGAACUUGGAAGAAGAGAAAGUCGAAAUUCUCCUAGAGUUUGUUUUGUAUGGGUUAGGGCCAACUAAGGCUAUGUACACAUUAGAGACUGAAAAUGCAACACACGCACACAAAUCCUGCAUUCUAAGUUGUAUUUGUAUGCUGUUGUACACACCAGAGAGGGGGCAGGGAUGUCUUCACGCAAUGCACAUUACCUGUUUGAUUUCCCCACCCUGCAACCUGCCCCAUAUGAACCUUACAUCCUUUGAACCCUAUCAGAAAUCCUAUACAAGGCUCUCCAACCCUCAAAAUGUUGUUGUUGUGGUUAAUGUUGUGGUGCUCCAGUUGUGGAAUAUCCACCCCAGAGAGUCUCCUCGUAGUGCAAAAUCAGCUGACCUUUAAUUGCAAGGUUUAGACAAUUUUAUUCCCCAAAACUUUUAAUGGGUGAUACAAUUUUUAUCUCCAUUCAUUCAUCACUCUACCCUUCUCUGCCUUGUUUCACUAUUAAUGCUAUUUUGUUUUACCCCAAUUUUGCUGGUGUUGUAUUAGAGAGCCUUUUAAAAUACUUGCAUUAUUCUAAUGUAUUGUUUUGUACUUAAUAUUUUUAUAUUACGGUAACUUUGAAAAUACAGUGGUACCUCGGGUUAUAGACACUUCAGGUUACAUACGCUUUAGGUUACAGACUCCGCUAACCCAGAAAUAGUACCUCGUGUUAAGAACUUUGCUUCAGGAUGAGAACAGAAAUCGUGCAGCAGGAGGAGGCCCCAUUAGCUAAAGUGGUGCUUCAGGUUAAGAACAGUUUCAGGUUAAGAACGGACCUCCAGAAUGAAUUAAGUUCUUAACCCAAGGUACCACUGUACAAUCAAUUACAAUUCCCCUACUGUUUUCCACACAAUAGCAACCCCAACUCUGUUCAGUUGUAUUAGUAAUAAUAAAGGUAAAGGUAAAGGACCCCUGGAUGGUUAAGUUCAGUCAAAAACAACUAUGGGGUUGUGGCGCUCAUCUUGCUUUCAGGCCGAGGGAGCUGACAUUUGUCCACAGACAGCUUUCUGGGUCAUGAGGCCAGCAUGACUAAACCGCUUCUGGCACAAUGGAACACCAUGACAGAAACCAGAGUGCACAGAAAUGCUGUUUACCUUCCAGCCACAGAGGUACCUAUUAUCUACUUGCACUGGUGUGCUUUUGAACAGCUAGGUUGGCAGGAGCUAGGACAGAGCAACGGGAGCUCACCCCGUCAUGGGGAUUCGAACUCCCAACCUUCCAAUCAGCAAACCCAAGAAGCUCAGUGGUUUAGACCACAGCACCACCCACGUCCCUAAUAAUAAAUAUGACAUUAAUUCAAUAGUUGUCCAUUUUAAAAGUGUCAUCCCACAGAUUCCCUUGUGUUGUGGGUGGUUUUUUACACAUUUUCUUUCUUUGUUGAAAAUGAAAUAAAAGUGAGCCACGUUUUGUAAAUGUUUUGUGGAUUCUUAUAUUGUCUUCUUUCUCAUACUUUUUUCUGUCGAAUUUUCCAUCAAAAUUAAACCCCAAACAUAGGCAUACAAAAUUUCAAAUAAGUUCACAUUCAAUGUCCUCCAUUAAUGUUCUUAAUUGAUAUUUUUUUAAAAAAAAGUUUUUGUGACUACGUUGGGAGUUUCUUAUGGAAAGGUGUGAUAUAAAUAUCUAAAACACAUACAUUCGUACAAUCAUCGGGAGGACUAAUCGCUAAGAUUACAUUGGACUGCAGACAUCUUUAGCGGUUCAUUUAUUAUGGCUCAUAUGCAUACAGCUUCAUUCAUGAGACUAAAGAUGAUAGAUCAACUCUCAUCCAUGUAUAUCCGAGUUUGUAAAAAUAUAGUGCAAAAUAACUGAAAUGCUUGUGAGAAGACAAAAUGUAUCAGAACAAACAGGCUAAAAUAUAAGUACGGGUGGUUUGGUGUGAAGAGCAUGAACUAUCGUGAGAACAUAUAAUGCUUCGAAAGGUAAGCAUGUCUCAAAAGUACAAGAGAUGUUAAAUCAUGUUAAGCUUUCAAAUGGUGGUUGAAAGAAUAUGUAUUGAGAGGUGGAUUAAACUGACAUAAAGGCUGCAGAACAGAAUCUAAAAUAUUUGAGAGGCAACAUGUGAGAAUUCAGAUGAUGAUGUGCAGUGAAAACCAUUCGUCCUCCGAGCCUUCACUUUCUUACAUAACUGCAACGCAAAAUUGCAUUUUUGGAUAAUGCUGGCUUUUUGGUUUUGGAACACAUUUGCAUAAAUAAUAAAACCCUGGAAUGGAUCUCAGCACUCUUCAAACUGUGAAAUAUGACCCAAUAUAGGCCAGAUUCCAAAGUGCCAUGGGUAGUGUUCUGCUUAGAGGUUUUCAGCUUCCACUUCCAUCAGGAAUGCUCCUGAAAAAUCUCUGGAACAGCCCCCUAGGAGAUGUAUGAGGCGGUUGGUGGAAGGAAAUAUCUCUCCGAUGCAUGUGGAGGUGUUUUCUGCUCACACUCACGGGCACUUGGACCCUGGCCAUGGGAUUUCAAACGUGUCUACGGUCAUUAUAAGACUAUGUGCAUGUAAAGGUUGUCUAAAUAUGACUUUAGAUGAAAGAUUCCAGAUUUAGAAUAAUGUAAUUGAAAUUAGAAAUGGGCUCAUUCUGUUAGAGAUGUGAAUAAUUGCUUGCUUUGUUCACAAACUGCAGUCUAUCAUGGGUGGUAGAAUUUGUGCAUCAUGAAUAUGUUAUGCCAGACUUUAGCCAAAGCCAUGACAUAUCCCAGAAAUUAACUAAGGGAAAUCUGUUUCUCAUUAUUCUCUGAUGUUCACUGAUUUAUUUGCUUUCACUAACAAAGAAUUUUGCGUCCUGAUCUUGGUAUCUACUUAGCUUACAGUUAACCCUUCCACACUGGGCUUGUGUCUGGUUUUUUUAAAAAACCAAAAAACUAUUGCAUUGCCUACAUCCUGGUCCUGGAUCAAAUUUACUGUGUCCUUAUUGCAUCCAGUUUAUGCUCAUGGCACAGUGAACAUUUUUUGCAUUAUUAUUAUUUUUUUGAAAUUUUACAUUCAGGACCUGUAUGUAAUCCAAAACCUGGUACAAGUUUGGAUAAUGAUUCAUCUCAAGCACCAUCUCGCUUCAGCUUUGCGUAAAUAACGUUAUUGUUUACGUUGGUCGCAAUGAUUUCAGAGUUGGCUGAAAACUCAAUGAGCCAGAAAUUGUCCAUUGAGGUAUGCAUCAUUCCUCGGGGUUACCGUCUAUUCAUUUCUUCUUGUCAAAUAGCUAGCAUAUUAACAACUUAUAUUGUCAAACAAAUGAGUGACCCAAUGCACUGGUUUUUGUUUCAGAUUCUGCACAGAGACAUGACUCGUCCUCUUUUUCAGUCAAGGCAAAUUGAAAUGGUGCACACCACAAUCCGUAUCCAUGAGAUAAGACUGUACAGGUCAAAUUUAAUACCACCUAGGAGUGGUAUUUAAAAUGUAGCCUGGCAGUGCCAAUAGCCGCUCCUCGCGCAUCACUCACACUAAGCUUGGGCAUGGCUCACAACUUAUAGUGGAUGCAUUGUGAAUUCAAUACAGUCAGCUACCCUUUCCAGUUCUGGCUAUGACGGAAGGUGGAGGCUCCAUUGGUUUUUUUUAAAGUGGUACUACUGGAAUUGUAAUGAAUUGCAGUGUGAAUGGCUUACGUUAAUGGGUAGGAAUUGAGUAGGGUAGCUUGGGGAGGGAAUAAUGUUAGCUGAAUAUUAAAAUGAUUAUGGGUGGAAGUGAAAAUUGGAUUUGGAAGAUGAACUGAUGGGAAAUGGGCAGUGGAAUAGGAGGAAGUACAAUGAAUAUAUAUAAAAAAAUCCCAGGUGUCAAAAAAGAAUAUUUAUGUAUGCUACUACGGCGGUCCGUGUUUCGUUAGCCCCAAAAUGGAAAACGAGCGAGGUCCCAACCAAAGAAGAAUGGCAACUUAAACUGAUGAAAUACGUGCAGCUUGCACAUUUAACGUAUAGAAUAAGAGAACAAGAAGAAUGUACAUUUAAAGAAGACUGGAAAAUGUUUACUGAAUAUAUGGGUGAAAAUUGUGUUUAUUUAAAAAUGCUGGUAGCAUUAAGAUAAAUUCAACAGUGUAAAUAAGUUUUGGUGGAUGUAACAAUGGAUUACUGAAUGGUUUAGUUCAUGUAAAAUAUGCAGGGGUGUGUGGUAUGCAAAAUGAACCACGGAAAGAGAAGAAGGGAAGUCACUGAUUUAAGGUUGUUAAAAUGAAUAUUUUGAAGUGUAAAUUAGAAAAUUUAUUAUUAUUUUUAUAAAUCAGAGGUACAACGAAUUUUAUGAAGGUGCUGACUAGAGCAUGGAAAGGGCAGGAAUUGGCUGUUUACCCUGCCUCAACUUACCAAAUAAAACACUGCAAUCUAGAAUGGUACAGAUUUCAGAGCACUGGGUGUUUAUGAUCCCUCCCACUAUCACAACCCACCGCCUUCCCCAAAACCCAGUUCACAUCGUUCAAGGCAUAGCUUGCAGAGGGUGCUUAUUUCCCUCCUUGCUAACUGACACAGUUUGCCCCCACCACCUAAAAAGAAUGCAGUUAGUAUUUUUGCACAGGAAGAUAAGAAAAUUAACCAUUUAUUACAAAGUUAUAAUAGAGUUAAAGUUAUUAUAAAGUUAUAAUAAAUGAUGUAAUAGUGUCGUCACAAAAGUAAAUACAUCUGACUCACAUUUUAACAUGCACAAAAUACCAGUGAAGCCCAUCAAUAAGUAUAGUAAAUUCACAUUAACGUAUAAGGCAACAAUGACUGUGUGUGUGUGUGUGUGUGUGUGUGUGUGUGUGGUUAAGUCAAACAGUGGGCCAAAGGUGAGAAAAGGGUUAACAAUAAAACAAUGAAUGUUAUUGAUGGUUGAUGGCUAACAUAAUCACUUCAGCACUGAAUCAUUGAGGCAGGGGUUAAAGUUAAUAUACAGACAGUUAGCAGACAGCUAAGAGCUGAUGCUGAUUAUAGCGGACUAAAUUGCAUCGGAACAAAUAUUGUCAUAUUCAAAAAAUUCCACCAUCACACCCCAACCCAAAAAAAUCCAAAUGGUAUCCGAGAAAAUUGCAGCAAGGCUGUUUUGCAAAGGGAGUAGACCAGUGGGCUGUGUUCACAGCUCAGUAACAAAUUCUGCCAUCAUCCCUAUUACUUACUACAGAGUUCCACAAUAAUAUGUUCAUUCCCUCCCUCACCCUUCUCCCACUCCAUUGCCACAAAUCCCAGAGUUCUAAUUCUAGGGUAGGUGAAUCUACACUAUCUAAAAUAUAGAUUACAUAUAGUAUAUCUAAAAUAUAGUUUGCAGUUAUCUGGUGAAGCAGAAAGUCCCUUGACUUUACAAUCCUAUAUACUACAAGCAAGCCUUGCUGAAUUCAACAAAGCAUACCCAGGUACGUAGACAUAGGACUGUAGCCUUAAAUCCAAAAUUUCUUACAUUUUGAAAUCACACUAAUAGUAAGCCCUGACUCAUCAUUUUUGCACCUUGAGAGUUAAAUGUUCUGAGGUUUAUUGUCAGCGACAUUGGCUGAAAAAUUCGGCUAGUAAGAGGGAGAAAAUCUAAUGGGCAGAAGAUUUAGGACAUAAUAUACAAUUUGAGGACUGGGGGAAAUUGUGGAAAGUGCCAGUAAAUUUCAAAUUUACAGACUGCUCUCUUUUGAAAGAAAAUUACAUGAAAAUGAUGUAUAGAGGGUAUAUUACACCAGUACAGAUAGCAAAAAUGUAUAAAACUGGGUCAAACAUAUGUUGGAAAUGUAAAGAAAAAGAAGGGACUUUUUAAUCAUAUGUGGUAUGUGGUAGGAAUGUAGAGAAAUGGAAAAAAAUUGGGAAAUGAUUUACAAUGAAUUGAAAAAAUGUUCAAAAUGACAUUUGUAAAAAAAACCCAGAGGCAUUUUUGUUAGGGAUUCUAGGACAAGACCUGCCAAGAAAAAUAACUUAUUUAUGUAUGCGACAACAGAGGCAAGAGUCUUGAUAGCACAAGGAUGGAAGAAUGAGGAAAUCCCAAUGAAAGAACAGUGGCAAGAAAAACUGAUGACUUGUGCAGAAUUGGCUAAAUUGACAUACAAACUGAGGGACAAGGACAACUGUGACUUUAAGGAAGAAUGGGAGCUUUUUACAAAUUAUUUAAAAAGACAACAAAACGAACUGGAUUCCUGGGCAGGGUUUGAAUAAACAUACACAAAUUUAUUGGCUGAUAACAUGAUAGAUAGAUAACGGAAGGAUAUGUACAAGUUUAUAACAUGCAGAGAGUAAUAUGUGCUGAGAAAUCAGAGAGAGGAUAUGAGGGAAGUCUCGGGGGAGGGCGGAGGGUUUGAGGGGUGGGGAAAAGGGGGGGAAAUAAUGAAUAUGAUAUGUUUUGAAAUUUUGAUGUGCUGAAAUUGUUAAUAAAAAUAUUUUAAAAAGAAAAAGAAAAUCUUUCCCCCAUACCCAAAUUACAGUUUCCUGAUGAAAGCCCUAUUCCAACUUUUAUUGCAACCUUAGAAAUUGUGACUAGCGCACUUUGAGACCUCUGCUAAAGAUUAGCAAUAUGGCAGAAAAUGGUGCUGCACAAAUAAAUUGAACUUUGGUAUGUUUUAGUAUUUCAUAUUCUUUUUCUCCUUUUCUUGGUACGUGUCACUACAAAUAUAGCACAUUACCAGGCUCUCUGUCUCUGCCAAGGGAUAAUUAAAACUAUAAAUGUUUAAAGACUGCAAUUUCCUCGAGUUUUAUUGAUAGAAAAUGAAUAGCUUGAUUUGGGUGGAUUCAUCAUGUCUAUUUAGAUUUGAGGCUCAUAAAAAUGGGUUCUGAUGCUGGACAAUCUUCUGUCAGAAAAGAGAAUCUUUCCCGCAUACCUUGUUUUAGUGCAACAAAUCAUCUAAAUUAGGUUUACUGUCGCUUGCAAAAAGUUCAGGCCAGAAAAAGUAAUAGAGCCCCUUCCUUCCUUCCUUCCUUCCUUCCUUCCUUCCUUCCUUCCUUCCUUCCUUCCUUCUUCUCUUCCCUUCCCUUCUCUUCUCUUCUCCUCCCCCUCUUCUUUUUUAGAGCAAUGGUUUAGUCUGGCUGCAAAAUAAAUAAAUAAAUGAGCCAAUAAUGAAGCCUCUGGAAAAGACACUAAUUCCACUAUGGUGAACUAAUUUUAAUCAUAUUGCGACAGGCGAUUCUUCCUUUAUGAAUUGUUCCAGUUUUCCUUCUCACGAGCUGUAGCAUUAGUGAAGCACUGAUUGCAUAGCCUCCAAGUGCCCAUGUUUUCCAGGGAUAGUCCUGGAAUUUCAAAAGCCAUCCUGAGUUGUUCUCAGAAUCCCGAGCUCAGGGAGGACAAUGAGCCAGUGCUUGUCCUGAAGGAUGGAAGGCACAAGGGAGCAUCCUUGACUGCUGCUGCCAUACAUGUCUGGCUUAUUGGGUUUUAUCUAGGAUAAAUGUAUGUACAAAAAUAUGUUUUAAUGUGAUUCCAUUGAGAUCCCAAGAUGAAAUUUUGAAGAUAGCUCUUAGAAAUAUUAAAUAAUCAAUGCAUUUUUUGGAAUUUUAAAAUCAUUAAUUUUUAACAACUUUUUAAAAUUUUACAACUUUCAUUUAAAAUUUUAAGUAAGUCCAUCAUAUGACACAUCAUAUUAAAGCCCGUGAUGUUCUGAAGAGAUUGGUGUUCUUGGUUUUGGUGUAUCUCACUCCUGGGCUGAGCUUUAAAGGCUUUUGUGUAGUACGACAAGGCCAAAAUUGUCAAUUUUUAGAAAUUUCAGACCCUCAUAGCUCAAAAAUUAGCUGAGAUUAAAAAUAAAAUUUAAACUUUGUUUUGAUCAUUCAACAAGUGUACAAAAUAUUAAGAAAAUUGGAUAACAUGAGGUAAAAAAAAAGUUGGAUCACUUGAUUUGGAAUGACCCAUUUCAAAUAUUUCAGAGAUCUCUGUACUAAGGAGUUGGUGAAUACUUCAAAAAAACAAAAAACAACCUUUUAAUAGAGCACUUUCUUUGACAUUUGGAUCUACCAUCACAUCUAUUUCCUUUCGAUUUUCUGCUCCACAAUAUCUAGCUUUGUUCAAGGAGCAAAAGGCAUGUAAUUGUCGUUUCCCAUAAUAAAUAAGAACUUACCUGCACUGUAGAUGAGAAACUAUAAUUUUGCAAAGCACAAGUAUCCCUAUACUGAUGUCAAAGCAAUACCACAUUUCUUGUAAUCAGUUUUCCAGUUGCUAGCAAUUAGUCCAGAUUAGGUGCCAAUUAGGCUCUUUCAGAAGAAUCUUGUGGUUUCUUGCUUGACUUUCAUUUUAAUGCGAACCAUGGGUCUUAGUAUGAAGUAGAAGGGAUUUUCAUCCUUCUGGUCCUAUAAACAACAACUUAGCGCUGAAAUAAGUAGCUGGCCUUAUUACCAUCGGAAAUGGGACCAUUCUUGCUCAUGAAUAUUCUUCUUCUUCUUUUUAACAUCAAUGGUCAUGGCCUGAAACAGAUGGACAGAAACUUCUCAGUUACUUCAGUACUGUAUUGAUAUUACCGUGGGUGACAGGACAAAAACUGGACCAUGGUUUUGGUUUGGGCAGGUUCAGAAUCUUGGCAGGGCUACUUCGUUCGUAGGAGAAGCCUCCCCUGACAAUAUAUAAAAACUGCUCUUGUUGAAAGCCACAUAUUUAUGCGAAACUUCAGUCUGAAUCAUUAGAUUUCAUAACUGCCAUGCAUAAUUCCAAUCUUCCUGCCAAUCGCCUGAUCUCAGCCCUAUACAGUGGUACCUCUGGUGACAAAUGGGAUCCAUUCCGGAGGCACAGCCGUAUCCCGAAAAUUUCAUAACCGGAGGACCACUUCUGCACACACAUGAGCAGCAAACCCACGUCUGAGUUUGCUGUGUUCACAACCCGAAGAUUACGUUACCCGAAGGUUAUGUAACCCGAGGGUCCACUGUAAUGUUUUAUAGAAAUGCAGUUGUACUGCGUUAUGGAUCUUGUAAUUCCCAGUAACUCCAUUACAUUUAGUGCAUGUCUCUUAUAUACAGAACAUAGGAGACAACUCCUAUUGGGGGCUUUGGGGCCCCCAAUAAUAAUAAUAUAAUAAUAAUAAUUUAUUUUUUAUACCCUGCCCAUCUGGCUGAGUUUCCCCAGUCACUCCGGGCAGCUUCCAAUCAAGUGUUAAAAACAAUACAGCAUUAAAUAUAUAAAAACUUCCCUAAACAGGGCUGCCUUCAUAUGUCUUUUAAAGAGAAGAUAGCUGCUUAUUUCCUUUGCAUCUGAAGGGAGGGCGUUCCACAGGGCAGGCGCCACUACCAAGAAGACCCUCUGUCUGGUUCCCCGUAAAUAAAAUAUUUGAGGGGGCUGUCCCCCGCUCCAAGUUGAUGGACAUUGCCGUUCAAAUGGUGUGUGCACUGCGUUAUGUGGGACAGGGCUUACCUGGGCUCCCUCAAUGUUUUAUUCAAGUUGGCACCCCUGAUGCAGAACAUGCAUGCCUGAGAUCAAUAUUAAUUGGAAACUGAAAAGUACACAAUGCUGUUCUCCCCGCAAGUCAUUAACAGUCAGAGAUCCAGGAGCAAAAGUGGCUGGCACUGGUGCCAUUCGCGUUGACGAUAUGCAACAAGGGACUUGCUGCUUCGAUGAGGAGUAGCAUGUUGUGCAUUUCCAUGUCAGCAGCCUGCAUAUGGAAGCCUUUAAACAUUCAUAAAAGAUCCACUGGGGCUUCUAAUUAUUGUGAAGCAUCUCUUGGCGGAACUGUUUCUACCCCUGUAAGAAUGCGCUGUAAAAAUAAUUAGAUGAUGAGAUUUAGAUCAAAACCGCUAACUGGUGCUUCAAGAGUCUUGCUCGUCCCACAUAUAUGGAGCUUACAGAAACGAAAUGUUGAAAUAUGUAUUCACAUGAAAGGGGAACAGUCUUAUUGUGGUUCGGAUUUUGGGGAGGACCCAAAAUACCCCCUCCAGCCGUUAAUAUUUUGUUUCCUGUGGUUAACUAAGAGGAGAGAAAAUCUCCCUUUCUUCCACCCCAUCCCUUUCUACAAAGAAAUAAUAAUAAUACCGAAUUUGAGAAUCUUUCAAUUUCUAGAGAGCCCUACUAUUAAAAGACCACUUGAGAAACUUGCUUUAAUCAAGCUUAAACUUGGGGGGGGGGUUUCUUUCCUCUCUUUUUUUUAACAACAGCAGAUCACAUUAUAUGUACGUCAUAGGCAAGCCAACAUGUAGCCAAUUAGGUGACAUCACUUCUACAAAAGGAGCAGAACAUCUUUAUUUAAUCAAAAACAAACAAGCCCAAUUAUAAGCUUAAGCAAUUAGAGAGAGAGAGAGAGGAAGAUACACAUUGUGAAUUCAUUGGAAGCGAAGAAUGGUCAUUUUUAUUUUUAUUUAAAAAAACAUAGGUGAAAGAACAGCCACUGUGAGGAAGUUGGUCAGAGCUACUAGAAGCAGACCUCAGAAACAGUUGUGUAUGACAUCUCAGUUGCGAGUAUCAGACGGUGAGGAUAAUAGAUUGUCGGUUUUGCUGGAAUCCUCACAAUGUUAGACUGGCACUCUAAGUCAUAGAUAAACAUGAACGAGUAACAAGUCCAUUAUUUUGUAAAGAUACCAGUCUGUAAAGAAGACUGCUGUUUUCAGUUCAAAUUAAUUUGGAAACAUAUCACUGCCAAUUCCUCAAUUAAUAUAUAUGCGGCAAGCCAUGACCAAAAUUUGACUUUUUAUCAUUGAUGUACCACCAAUACAAAAUAUGUUCAUUUUGCCCCAUGAUAGAAAUUGGUUCUGAAUGUCUUUAAUAUGCCUAAUAUGAGAAGACUCCCUGGAAAAGACCCUGAUGUUGGGAAAGAUGGAGGGCACAAGGAGAAGGGGACGACAGAGGACGAGAUGGUUGGAUAGUGUUCUCGAAGCUACCAGCAUGAGUUUGGCCAAACUGCGGGAGGCAGUGGAAGACAGGAGUGCCUGGCGUGCUCUGGUCCAUGAGGUCACGAAGAGUCGGACACAACUAAACAACUAAACAACAACAACAAAUGAGUUUCCCCAUAAAAUGUAUCCAAAGACCUGGAAAUGUAUCUACUUAGAGACCUUGGCAUUUUCCAAGAAAUAUACAUAAACUGAUUCCAUUCAUCCUUUCUUGGUCAAUCCAUAUAUUGGUCAAUCCUGGUGAUCUUAUAGCCUGAAACAGAAGUACUGUGAAGGAAAGCAAGUUUUUUUAAGGAACAAAAUUUCCUGGACCAAAGUUAUAACUAUGCAACUGUUGUAAAGAUUAAAUUAAUAUUAUUUGUUUGGUUCAUCACUUGUAUUGUUGGCAGUUUUUUGUGUUUUUUUUACUGCUACGGCAAGUAAAGAUGCAGUUUAGGUCUUUGAAAAAUGCAUAGAAAUCCACUUACUUCAACUCAGUUUCAAGAUAAGAUUAAACCAAAGUAAACCUGACAAUGUUAUGCGAAGCAUCAGCAUCAGUGACAUACCAAAAAUGCAACGAGCUAUAAUAUUUACUAAUUUGACAGCAAGUAUUACUGGGCCUAUAGUGCAAUUUAAUCUCAAACUCACUGCUUGCCAGCUUGCCCGUGAUUUUAUAUUUACUGUCCUGGACUCUUUCUGGACUCCCUUAGAGUUGGAUAGCUUUGCUCUGCAGGUGGAAAAAAAAUAUUUGUCCAACCUCCUGUACCGUUUUCAUUUAAUGGAAUUGGGAGAGUGUGUUCUUCUGAACUGAAAGAUCAUUUGUUUAAGGGCUCAAGGAAAAGUUUGACUACUUGACUGGGUGUUCACGGAAUGUUGUUGCUGUUCCCUUUUUUUUUAAAAAAAAAAGUGAAUGCUCAAAUUUACAAAACAGAAAACACAUAUUCACUUUACAAACAUUCUUUCUGUCUGUGGUGAAUUUGAAGAUUCUGGCUUUCCUAGUUAGUACAUUUUGGGUUUGGGACACACGCUAUGCCAAAGUCCCUGCCCACACAUUUCACUCAGCACUACAUUUGGCAAUGCAGGCCGGAUUUGAUUAUGAGCACAUCUAAGCAUGUGACGAUCUUUUACGCAAACAUAUUCUCAUGUUGCAUUUGGUGCUUAAAUGAUUUUAAUCCCUGUGCACUAAUUUAUACCCCCUGAUCCAGAAUGCCACAGGCAUCCUAACGCACAACUAGCCCCUGUGCCAACAAGCUUCCCCCCCCUCUCUGAAAUAGUUCUGUACAGAACAGCCAUUUCCUUCUACACAAACCAUUCUUCCUUUUCCUGUGGAGAACAGGAUAGCUCCAUGUAGGGGGAGAAGCUCCAUGGGUCCUUCAGAGAUGCAACAUCUUCCAGGAACUGUCUAAUCAGAAGGAAAAAUCUCAAUUAACAUUUGUAAAUGAUGAGAGAGAUACUCUGCAUAGAUUUGUAGACUUUCGGUGGUAGCCAAUACAGUGGUACCCUGGGUUACAUACGCUUCAGGUGCAGACUCUGCUAACCCAGAAAUAGUACCUCGGGUUAAGAACUUUGCUUCAGGAUGAGAACAGAAAUCGUGCAGCAGCAGGAGGCCCCAUUAGCUAAAGUGGUGCUUCAGGUUAAGAACAGUUUCAGGUUAAGUACUUAACCCGAGGUACCACUGUACUACUCCUACUCAGAGUAGACCCAGUAAAGUUAAUGAACAUGAUGAACUUUGUUUCAUUAAUUUCAAUUUUGAGGUUGAUCCCUCCCGCCCAAAAAGCUCAACAGCUACAAGCUGCCAAAGGCUCUGUUGACCACUCCAAUAGGCAGAUGGCUGAGUCAGAAAAGUGGGCGUAAUAAGCAUUCUUGUUAGAUACACCCUCAAAAGAAGUGAAUGGGUCUUGUGUACAUCUUCAAAUAAAAUCAGCUUGCAAUUGAUCCAAUGGCAUUUGAACCAUUCUUUUGGCUUGACAACUCACAAAAUUUGUGUUUUGCUUUGCAAUGAACUCGUGUACCCCUUAAAGGGAGGGAAGGAAUACCAUAAAAGGAAGAAAAUAACUCACCCACUUAUUUAUAGGGGUCACAGGAACAUAGGCAGCACCCUUAAACUGAGUCUGGGUCUUGGUCCCUCUAGCUUUGUAUUAUGAACACUUUUCAGCUGUGCCUCUCCAGGAUUUCAAGGCAUGAUUCUUUCAGUGCCCUAUGUGCAGAUUUUGGGACAGAACCUGAGAAUUCUGCAUACAAUGCAUGUACUCUAUCACUGAGCGAUGGCCGUUGCCGAAAGUGAGGAUAUGAAGCUACCUUAGUCAUGCUGGCCACAUGACCCAGAAGCUCCCUCGGCCAAUAAAGUGAGAUGAGCGCUGCAACCCUAGAGUCGGCCACGACUGGACCUAAUGGUCAGGGGUCCCUUUACCUUACAGCACUCCAAGGCCUAAGGGAGCAGAGAUGGGGACUUGCUUCCAAGGUCCUUUUACAGGAGAUGGCAGGGAUUGAAUGAGGGACCUUCUGAAUUGAAUCAGGCACAAUCAGACUCUAGUGACUUCAUCCAGCGAGCAUAAAAGGAUGCCUAAAAAGCCCCCUUUGCCUCCCUUCAGGUUAAAUAUCCAGUACUUCUAAAGCUUAGCAAGGGGAGAAAAUUAGGAAUGCUUCUCUUUUAAACAUUCCCUCCCUGUUUUCCAGUUGAGCAACCCAGCUGCAUUGAAUUGUGGCUAUUCUGCUGGAGUCUCAAGGUUCAUUAUGUUGUAUAUCAUGGUCUUCAGGGCUUUUGACGGGAACAGCUGUGCUUCUGAAACAGGGACUCAGUGGCCAAAUAGUAAAGGCUGCUUGCUUCGAGAAGAGAAUGUUUUCCCCAUUCUGUUCCUUUAUUGUUCCCCUGGUUCACUCUAUACUGCAAUCUACUUCUCUGGAAUUCUGGUUUAAAUGGGAUAACAUCAGAAAUUGAUUCUGGGAUUGGAUCAAGCAGUUUGUUGCAGCUUCCAGAGACUUCCAUCGAUCUGCAUCUUCUAUACACGCACACUACCCAUGAGAUUGCAGGCACUGAUGUUGUUGGAAUCUUAUUCCCAUCAACUUCAUCAGCCCCAACCAGCAACCCAUCAGGGAUAAUGGGAGUUGUUGUCCAAAAGCACCUGAAAGUCUUUAGGUUCCAACCCCUUGUGUAUAGAAUUGCAGCUAUGGGAAGGUGCAUAUUUUGCAUGCAAAAGGUCCCAGAUUCAAUUUUUAGCAUCUCCAGUUGGGGAGUGACGCACCAUGUCUGAAACCAUGAAGAACCACUGCCAGUCAGGAUGGACAAUAUUGAAGGUGGCAUCCAUUAGAGAAGCCCCAUUCACACAAACACUUCAUGUGGAAUGGGACUUCCUUGUCACUGGUCAUACCCCACCUCGGCACGUUGUGUGACAAACAUCUUGAGUCAGGGAACCUGCUGUACUCAGUGGAGGCUCCUGGCAUGUUCUAGAAUUCUGCAAAAUGAGGUCAGAAUAAGUUCAUUGAUCCUCUCUGCAAGUUCAGCAGGAAUCCCUACUGUAAAAGGUAAAGGACCCCUGGACAGUUAAGUCCAGUCAAAGGCAACUAUGAGGUGCUUUCAGGCCGAGGGAGCCAGUGUUUGUCCACAGACAGAUUUCCGGGUCAUGUGGCCAGCAGAACUAAACCGCUUCUGGUGCAACAGAACACCGUGACAGAAACCGUGACAGAAACGCCGUUUACCUUCCUGCUGCAGUGAUACCUAUUUAUCUACUCGCACUGGUGUGCUUUCAAACUACUAGGUUGGCAGGAGCUGGGACAGAGCAAUGGGAACUCACUCCAUCGCAGGGAUCUGAACCACCAAUCUUCCAGUUGGCAAGCCCACAGUGAUUUAGACCAUAGCACCACCCAUGUCCCCCCAACAAUGCAUGGAGGGUAGUGUGGUCAGAUAAUGGAGAUGUAAUAGGUAGCUAGCAUGUUCCCUCAUGUUAUUCAAGUCACAUGAGGCUUCAAACACCUAUGUGAUGGAGGCAUUGAGGAGACAGAGCCAGUGUGGUGUAGCGGUUAAGAGCAGUAGACUCAUAAUCUUUGGAACCGGGUUUGCGUCUCCACUCCUCCAUAUGCAGCUGCUGGGUGACCUUGGGCCAGUCACACUUCUCUGAAGUCUCUCAGCCCCACUCACCUCACAGAGUGUUUGUUGUGGGGGAGGAAGGGAAAGGAGAAUGUUAGCCGCUUUGAGACUCCUUCAGGUAAUGAUAAAGCGGGAUAUCAAAUCCAAACUCCUCAUUGUUGUGAGUUUGGGUGUGUGUGCAUGGUUAAGCUGUAUGAUGCUUGGGUCCCUUCUAAUUCCUGGAUCCAGCAAGGGUUAAAAUCCGAUAGAGGAUCCCAUUGUUAAAUUAGUCAGGCAAGGUCCAUAAUGGCCCCUAAGUAUGGGCCUUUGGUAUAAGAGGGGAAGUUGCUUUGUGCCAGAGGGCAAAUGGGUGAGCUGCCUACUUCACCUGGCUGCUAAUGAGAAGGACAAUAGCCAGAGUAUUGCCUACGAGAGAACUGAGCUAGAAUCAGGCAGAAGUCAGAAGGUGAGAGCUAUUCUUGAGUUCUGCUUGAAUCCAAGGCUGUGGCUAUGGGGCAAGCAAGACCUUCUGGGCUGUUAAUGCCCAGAAGCCCCUCCAUCAUAGGCUCAGGUUGUAUAUGUGUGUAAAUAAUCCAUAUGUCAUAAAGAUAUCACAGUCUCCGCUGACCCUCAUUUCAAGGAAACAACACCCUGGGUUGCCUGGCGCCCCUUGAAUUUUGCACCGCUCAGAGAUUUGCAUGGCGGGCGACAAUAGAAACCACAGUGUUUUCUCAUAUUGCUCCAUGUAACUGAGACACUGAUCAGUCAAAAAGUUGCUAAUUGCAACCAUACUCUGCCCCCUUCAUUUCGUCAUGCAUGUUCGGUACAGCUGCAUUGGACUGCAGAAUAAAUUGGGUUUUUAUUUCAGCAUUACUCUGUGUAUACUCAGGGGGAAGGAAGCGAGGCUUCUGCUGCUGUUUUGAUGUUUGAAUUAGGUACAACAGAGAGGGCAUGUGGACCACUAUGUGCCAUCUGGUGCUAUAAAAUGUAAGACUGGACAUAUGAGGUACAGCCUGAUAUUAGUUAGCAUUACAGUAGAAUGUGAGAUGUUUCCGAAAGACCUGAACUUUAGUGAACCUCAUGCAAAUGAACCUGCAAACAUUUUGCAAAGAAAAUAUCGCAGAUAUGUGAAACGAUGCCUGAUACAAAGGAUGAAGGCCGAUUAUUCCCAUUAGACCAAUAGAAAUGGAAAAUAACACAGUGAUAAGUCUGAAGUGCAGCUGGGGAAACAUAGAUUAAAUAUUAUAUAAGAAUUUGAUCGACGGAUGAAGAGUCAGGCUGAGGUUGCCAAAAAAGCCUGAGAAUUUCCAUCGCUUGUGACGUUCAAGGCUAGGCCACCCAUCUGUUUAGGAAUAGGAAUGAUUUAGUAAUCAGAAGUAAUCUAUCCUGCCACGAUGCAGAGAAAUAGACUCGAUGGCCGACCGGUAGCUACCGUUCCAGCUUUACUGAGCUUGUGAUUCAUGGGAAUAAUAAGUCAUUGGAGAAAACUCCUGGAAAAAAUAAGUAUUUAGAGUGUAUUACUUUCAAAUGUGUCUCUCUGUCUCUUUUUCUGUACCUGUUGAGUCAUAAAUAUAAAUAUUUAAGGGGGAGAAAUGCUUAGAGUUGGGACUCCCCUAUAGCUCAGCUCUGGAGCUGAUAUCAAAAUGUGGAUCAGAAAGACUUACUUUACCAUUAGGCAUGGUAAGACAAAACCUGAUUCCCAGUAGCAAGGAUUUGGGGUGUGGAAAGUUUAGAAAUCCAGAUCUGGAUUAUGCGUCAUCACUAAAGAUUUGAUUUACAACCAUUUCUUUCGAGCCAAUACUCACACUGUUGUGCCAGUGAAAUAAACAAGAAUAUAACACUGGCAGAGAAAUUUGAGGAACGGGGUCUGUCUGUCUCCUUGACUUAGCUAAACUGGACCUCUGGUCCAAUCACUUUCAAAACGAAUCUUGGCAGUCUUGGAUAAUUCUUGGUUAUCUCUCCACUAUAUACUUAAAGCACAUUAUAGCACACUAACAGUCAUAGCUUCCCCCCAAAGAAUUCUGGGAACUGUUGUUUUCCCUGCAUCCUGUUCCCAGGAUUCUUUGGGGGAAACCGCAAGCUGCAAAUGUGUAGUGUGGAGGUAAUCAGACUAAUCAGAUUAGAGAAAUGAAAAUGUGUCCCAUUCAGCAGCGCCGGCCCACCUAUGAGGCAAGGUAAGCUGACUGCCUUAGGCAGCAGGAUCCCCAGGGAUAGGCCUCUAAGGAAUGCAUCAACAGCUGUGAUGUGGUCCUUGGAGGCUGGAUCUGCUGCCACCUCGCAAUGCCCACUCUAUAGCUGCCUCUAUAGGAGGUGAUACUGGUCUCCCCUGAACCAUGUUCCCAAUGUAGAUCUUUAUUUCCCUCUUGAUGUAGAUCUUCACUCAUCCCUUCUUCCCUGGAGGGGCAGGGGCGCCAUUUUGUGGCUCACCUCAGGUACCAAAACGUCUUGGGUCAGCCCUACUUUCAGUCACCUCUAGCAAAGGAGAUAAAUUUAACAGUCUUCUCAAACUCACUGGACCAGGGUAUGGUAAAGGGUGACCCAGGGAACCCAAAUCCCUGAUCUUCUGCCCUAGGCUCCAGGUAUCCAGCCCCUUUGAUUCCUUGCUUUAAAACUGUUAAAAUGUUGGUUACAGGACAGCUGAGCACACUGCAAGCUGCAGUGCUGGAGAAAUCUCAGCCACCCUCUACAGUGGUACCUCGGGUUAAGAACUUAAUUCGUUCUGGAGGUCUGUUCUUAACCUGAAGCACCACUUUAGCUAAUGGGGCCUCCUCCUGCUGCUGCUGCUGCUGCUGCUGCACCGCUGCUGCACGAUUUCUGUUCUCAUCCUGAAGCAAAGUUCUUAACCUGAGGUACUAUUUCUGGGUUAGCGGAGCCUGUAACCCGAAGCGUAUGUAACCCGAGGUACCACUGUAUCUCCAUUAGCCUGGAGGCAAUGUACAUGUAUAGACAUUACAUUAGCAUAUGCUAAAUUUUUGUAUAUUUAUGUCAUGGGCCUGCAUCCUGAGUCCUAAGAAUCCCCAACCCUGACUUAAAAUUAAAGAUGUGAAGGCCUGGGGAAUAGAUUGGAAAAUUGGGAAGGGGGAUGCCUCUUAUUUUUUUUCCCUUUCCUCAUCCCCCCCCCCAAAUUUAGAUGGACUGGAAGAAUCAGAACCAUCGUUCAGCCUCGUCACAGAGGUCCAGCUCCAAGGGCCUUCUGGCAGUACCCUCUCUGUGAGAAGCAAAGUUACAGGGAACCAGGCAGAGGGCCUUUUCAGUGGUGGCGCCUGCCCUGUGGAACACCCUCCCAUCAGAUGUCAAGGAAAUAAACAACUACCUGACUUUAAGAAGACAUCUGCAGGCAGCCCUGUUUAGGGAAGUUUUUAAUGUUUGAUGUUUUAUUGUGUUUUCAAUAUUCUGUUGGGAGCUGCCCAGAGUGGCUGGGGAAACCCAACCAGAUGGGCAGGGUAUAAAUUGUUGUUGUUGUUGUUGCUGCUGCUGCUUCCUGUCUCCAGUGUCAUUCCUUUUUCAUUUGACCUCUUAGUAUCUUCAACAUUUGUAGGAAACCUGACUCUUUUAGCACAAUUCAUUCUAAACACAGGACCCCUGUUUAGAAUUUCAACUGGCCAGUGAGGGCAACAUGGUAUAUAGAUAGACACUUGAGUAAGAAUAAGGUUUGUGAGAUAGCAAUUGUUUCUCAGGCAAGUAUUUAUAAUCAGCAUCCAAUACUCUUCUGAAACCAUGGGUCUAUGAGGAAGAUGACAUAAAAAAUGUCAUGAUUAUUAGUAAAGACCCCCCCAGUCGGUGUUAAUUUAUUAGCAAGAGCUCUAUGAUGCUGAAAGAAGAAACAGAUCAUAUUCCUCUGAUGAGAUGAUACAUUUACUGAGAAAUCCUGUGCAUGUCCAGCUCUGACACUGAGGUCCAGCUCUUGAGGGCCUUCUGGCAGUUCCCUUACUGCAAAAAGUGAGGUUACAGGGAACCAGGCAGAAGGCCUUCUCGGUAGUGGUGCCCGCCCUGUGGAAUGCCCUCCCAUCAGAUGUGAAGGAGAUAAACAACUAUCUGACUUUUAGAAGACAUCUGAAGGCAACCCUGUUUAGGGAAGUUGUUAAUGUUUGAUGUUUUAUCAUGUUUGUAAUAUUCUGUUGGGAGCCACCCAAAGUGGCUGGAGAAACCCAGCCAGAUGGGCGGGGUAUGUAUAAAUAAAUAAAUAAUCAGGGAACUGCCCCCCCCCAUUUCCCCUGAGGAAAAUAUUCACCUAAAAUUUGGGCAGAGCGCUAACCAAACACCUUCUUCCUCCUCCUUUCGGGGGAACAAAUGGGAAAUGGAGUGUCCAGAUGGAAAAGAGGGCAGGACUUCUACAACUUUAAUCGUUGGAUAGAAGAGGGGAUUUCAGCAGGUAUAGCCUGUCAUAUAAGCAACGUCUGCUGCAGUUCCCUCUUCUACAGAAUUUAUGGUGCCUGUACUCUUUGCUUUGAGGGACGCGGGUGGUACUGUGGGUUAAACCACAGAGCCUAGGACUUGCCGAUCAGAAGGUCGGCAGUUUGAAUCCCCGCGACGGGGUAAGCUCCUGUUGCUCGGUCCCUGCUCCUGCCAACCUAGCAGUUCGAAAGCACAUCAAAGUGCAAGUAGAUAAAUGGGUACCACUCCGGCAGGAAGGUAAACGGCGUUUCCGUGCGCUGCUCUGGUUCGCCAGAAGCAGCUUAGUCAUGCUGGGCACAUGACCCGGAAGCUGUAUGCCGGCUCCCUCGGCCAAUAAAGCGAGAUGAGUGCCACAACCCCAGAGUCGUCUGCGACUGGACCUAUGGUCAGGGGUCCCUUUCCCUUUUUACUCUUUGCUUUAUGGACGUCAGCGCCCCUAGGCCUAGAACGACUCAGGACUGAUCCAUCCCCCAUCUAGUUGUUACGUUCAAAUUUUCAUGGUCAGCAUGGACGCUCCUCUUAUCUUAAAAUAGUCCCAAUAACGUCUCAAAAAGUCCCAGCUACUUCAUUUUAAACUGCUGAUUCCAUCCUGCCAGCGAGAUGAAAUGUUACACAAGCCUUAAAGAUCUUUCUAACCUCUACAGCAAUAUUUCAAAGUAACAGUUUAUUCAAUUAAAGAUAGAGCAGUUAAAAACAGACAAUAUUUUCAAAGUAUCGUAGCAACAGGUGAUUGAAACGUUGCCCGGAACUCUGGGGAAAGGGUUUGCCAAAUAGGCAGAAUUCUAGCGAUAUCUUUCUUAUAGCAAAUGGAAUAAAUCUAAUAUUGUUUUGGACACAUUACCCUGGAUUACAUCAUGACAUGAAAUUCUUUAUGCGUUCUAACAAUAGGUGAUGCACAGACAGAAGAAGGAAGAAACAUGUGUAUAAUAAUAAUAAUAAUAAUAAUAAUUCCAGCCUUUUCCAGCUGUGGUCCAGAGAUUUCUUGUUCAGUAUACAUGGCUGUUGAUCAUCUCUCCUCUUCCAUGGGAGACUAGGCUACCCCUGCUUUCCCUUUACCAGCAGGCAAAUACCAUUUUUGUUCCAAUGGGCCUCUGGCCACCAACUGGCUUGGUGGCAGGAUCUUCUGAGGGUAUGUGUGUUGUUCUUUCCCCUUCCAGUGCUUUUAAAUAGUUUUAAGUAUUUUCAGUGCUGUUUUUAAUAGGGCUACUUAUUUAAUUGUUGUUGUUUUUAUUUCUUGAGUGUUCUUAGUUGUAUCUGUUUUCCUUUAUGCUGAGAGCUGCCUAGGGUCCUGAGCUGGGAGAAAAUAUCAAAUAAAAUAUAGAAAAGGC